rnacentral:lncRNA from 1 species
AUCCAAGAGCUCAAAGAAUAUUUCCUCUAAUACUUCAUUUGUUGCUUGGAAGAAGAGCUCAAUCUUCCUUGUACUUAAUAAAAGUCUCUCUGAAAAUGAAACCUCAAAGAAUUUUCUCUCAAAUUUUUUAAGCAACUUAUUAAGGAUUAUAGACCUCCGUGGUUGUGCCUCAAUCCACUCCAAAAAUGACAUCUUGGUGAUUUUAAUAAAAUCCUUAUUAUAAAUAUCAUCUCUCAAUCUCUCUUCAAAGUCACUCUAAGCCUUUAA